GAUGAACGUUGGCGGUGUGCCUAAUACAUGCAAGUCGAACGAAGUUGAUAGCAAUAUUAGCUUAGUGGCGAACGGUGAGUAACGCGUUGGUGAUCUGCCUUGAAGUGUGGAAUAACGUUUCGAAGGAACGCUAAUACCGCAUGUGCUCUCGAUUUUCAGAAAGUUGAGAGUAAAGGAUUUAUUCGCUUCAAGAGGAGCCUGCGUCCAUCAGCUGGUUGGUAGGGUAACGGCCUACCAAGGCUAUGACGGGUAGGGGACCUGAGAGGGUGGCCCCCCACAAUGGAACUGAAACACGGUCCAUACACCUACGGGUGGCAGCAGUAGGGAAUAUUAGAAAUGGACGAAAGUCUGAUCUAGCAACACCGCGUGUGCGAAGAA
rnacentral:rRNA from 1 species